rnacentral:tRNA from 1 species
GGUUGUAGCUCAGUGGUAGAGUGCUUGCUUAGCAUGUGUGAGGCCUUGGGUUUGAUUCUCAGCACUG